AAUCACACCAAACACACACUUAGGUGUGUGUCUGGUCGAUCUCAACAACAGGGCGACACAAGGGUUCCCUCACAAACCCUAGUUCAUGCUAAAUCUCACAAAUUGAAGGUCAAGAUCAAUUCCAAAUCAAAAUCCGAGCACGGAAUAGUGAUUUACAUUGAAAAGGAGUCAUAAGGCAAGGAAUCCGGAUCCUCAAGCGGACAAGCCGGUGGAGACACGCGUUGAAAGGAGCGCUCUAAAGGUGAUGCUCGUUUGUUGUGGAUGUUGAUCAAGCAAUGGAAUCAAGAACCGAACACAAGUUUUGAAUGCUUCCGCGCUAAUCUAAUCUAGUGUAAAACAUGUUGUUUUGUAAACACUUCUAAACGUUGAAUAUUUUAAUCUAGUUAGUUGACUAUGUUUAAAUGCUAUAAUGAAGUACAUCUUAGUUUAUUAACUAAGUUUUUGUUA